rnacentral:rRNA from 1 species
UACGUAGGCGGAAAAUUAAGUCAGUGGUGAAAUCCUGCAGCUUAACUGUAGAACUGUCAUUGAUACUGGUUUUCUUGAAUACAGUUGAGGUAGGCGGAAUGUGUAAUGUAGCGGUGAAAUGCUUAGAUAUUACACAGAACACCGAUUGCGAAGGCAGCUUACUAAACUAUUAUUGACGCUGAGGUACGAAAGCGUGGGGAGCGAACAGGAUUAGAUACCCUGGUAGUCC